CUGUCCAUGUCUUUUCUUUGGGUGAUCGACCGAGUGGAAAAAAAAGACAAAAGUGCUCCAGAGCCAGGCCUGAGUGUGGGAACAGAGGCUGGGCCGGGUUUAUCAAUCAUCCAGUGAUUCCCUGGGCGGGCGUGAAAGGCAUCGCCCCCCACCCCACCCCUGGGGUGAUCAGCCUCGCAUCCCGGCCAAACUCAAACCAAGCAUUUGAUGGGAGUUUUCAGAGCGCAGACCUCUUUGAGGGAGUGCUAGGUCCGCUGGGAACUUGCUCUGGAGCACUUCGGGAAAUGAGAAAAGGAGGACUUUUCCACCAGAAAGUAAAGUGAUACCAAGCAGGCAUCAACGCUGUUUAGCUAAAAAGGGUUGAGGUUGUAACUUCGUAUAUGGCAGACAUCAAGAGCUGUGGGUUGACUGGAGAAGAAAUGUACAUUAUACGCAAAGUAUGAAGUCAAGUGAUGAGCGAAUUCGUACCCUUUCUUUGAACAGGUGCUGCUGCUCAACGCAUCGUGCUCAAAUGACCUGCCAGAGGCAGCUGGACCCGAAAUAUGGAGGCGUCUGGGCAUGUGUGAUCCUAGCUUCCCGACCAGGGACGGAACCCGCGACCCCUGCGUUGGAAGGUGAUGUCUUGACCACUGGACCGCCAGGGAAGUCCUUCUUCCCAGCCCAUCACUGGGGCCAACCAAAUCUCCAGCCACUGUUGACAAGAAACAUCACAGCUGGAGGUGUCCCGGGCACAAAACGGUGCAGCAAGAUGAGUGGAUGAAUCAGUGCUUCCUGCAGGAGACUGGCUACAGAAUGAAUUUGAGCAGCUUGGAAGAAAAUUCCAGAACGAGAGCUCCAGCAUAAAUAUCCCAGCACAUGAGCUGAUAACACUGAGUAAAACAGUGCCUCAGAAAAGUAAGAAUUUUGAAAACUAAUUCAUGAAACCAUUUUGCCUAAAAGAGAUUUUGUGUCUUAAAAUGCAUAGAAGUGAUAAUACGUCAGUUAUCUCUAAAAGCAGUAUUUCAGUAAUGCAAAACAAAUACUCUUAGGAAACAAAGGAAUGAAAGGAAUUUAUCUCAAAGAUAAAAAGAAAACAGAAUCUAUUCUAAGGAUGAACAUUCACUGCAGUAUUAACGAUAAAACAAAUUCUGAAGGCAACUAAACGUUUGGCUAAGUGCAAUUAUGACAGCCCAUAAUAUCCAUCAAAGUAACCAUUUCAAAACGUUAUUACAAAGACUAACAGUAUAUAAAAUGCAAAUAUAUUAUUUGGAAAUGUGGUCAUUUUACAU